rnacentral:rRNA from 1 species
UACGUAGGGGGCUAGCGUUGUCCGGAAUCAUUGGGCGUAAAGAGCGCGUAGGCGGCCCGGUAAGUCCGCUGUGAAAGUCAAAGGCUCAACCUUUGAAUGUCAGCGGAUACUGCCGGGCUAGAGUCCGGAAGAGGAGAAUGGAAUUCCUGGUGUAGCGGUGAAAUGCGCAGAUAUCAGGAAGAACACCCGUGGCGAAGGCGGCUCUCUGGGACGGUACUGACGCUGAGACGCGAAAGCGUGGGGAGCGAACAGG